CUACGGGACGCAGCAGUGGGGAAUAUUGGGCAAUGGGCGCAAGCCUGACCCAGCAACGCCGCGUGAGGGAAGAAGGUUUUCGGAUUGUAAACCUCUGUCCUUGGGGACGAAGAAGUGACGGUACCCAAGGAGGAAGCUCCGGCUAACUACGUGCCAGCAGCCGCGGUAAUACGUAGGGAGCAAGCGUUGUCCGGAAUUACUGGGCGUAAAGGGUGCGUAGGCGGCAUAUUAAGUCAGGUGUGGAAUACUCGGGCUCAACCCGGGGGCUGCAUUUGAAACUGAUAUGCUUGAGUGUGAGAGAGGAAAGUGGAAUUCCUAGUGUAGCGGUGGAAUGCGUAGAUAUUAGGAGGAACACCAGUGGCGAAGGCGACUUUCUGGCUCAUAACUGACGCUGAGGCACGAAAGCGUGGGGAGCAAACAGGAUUAGAUACCCUUGUAGUC
rnacentral:rRNA from 1 species